rnacentral:lncRNA from 1 species
GACCCAUUGUGCAGCCUACUGUCUCCCAUUCCAGCCAAAGUCUAAAAAGAAAUGGUCCCUUGGUUCAUCACUUUAAGCAUAAGAUGCUCUUUUUCAUCUUGGAUGCUCUUGGGACCAAACCUCUAGCUCAAAUUUUGCAAAGUGGUCACCUAGGCAUGCUCUAGUGUUCUCAUGGUCCAUGGGAAACUCUUGAGCCAUGUCUCCACUUUAGCCAUUCACCUUUUCUUUUUCACCAAGCACUAGGCAAAGGAAUCUAUAAAAAUUUCACCACUUUUGGUCCUCACCUGGCCUCUACUUUACGAGACACUUAAUGGUAUAAUGUUUGAAGGCCUAGGAUGGGGGUCGGCCGACCCUCACUUUGGACCAACUCUAAAAAGGUUUUCAAAGUUCGACAUAAUGUUUAAAGUGCUACAAGGGGGGUUGACCGACCCCUGCUAUGGGGGUCCUCCACUUGCCCUUCUCUCCCUAUAAAUACCCUUGCAUUUGUGAGCUCAACUCCACACCCAAACCAACAGAAUCAUCUCGAGCUUAGAAUCUCUCUUCUUCUCUCCAUUGUUGCAAGUUCUUUCUCAAGUGUAGUUUAGUAGUAGCCUUCCAAAAAAAAACAAAAAAUAUUUAUCCCUUUCUCUGUUGCAUAUUAGUAGUAGGAGCUUGGGUUGUCUCAUUUGUGCAGCUAGAUGAAGAAGUUGCUCACCUCCUGGUUCAAGAAGUCCAAGGAGGGUGAGAGUUCUUCUGAAGGCUCUCACCACACCGAUGAAGGAACCCAUGGGAGGAGUGAUGAGGAAGAGAGCUACCACCUUAUGGUACUCUAUGAGCCUUGUUGAUGCAAAACUGAUCUGCAAACACAAAGGGCUAAUACCCGAUUCAAACGUUGAGGCGUGCCAGCCGAUUUGACCUUGCUAUCGGCAAAGGUGGUAACUCGAAUACUUUAGUCCUGACAACAGCGAUGCGCCCGGAUGUCACGGCUAAGAGGUACUCACGCGGAACUUGAGAACACGCCGAGCUUAAGUCAACGAAUUCCUAAGAACUCGUAACAAAAGGAAAAAGUAUGACGAAGUCGUCGAAAAGUAAAUGCUGG